UGCUGUCCUAUUCUACAUACCUGGUUCAUCACUAACAUUAGAAUAUAUUAGCGAGCCUUUUUCUUCUUGUUUUGGCAGGAAACAGAUGCGCUGCCAUGUUAAUUUGAAUUGUCAGCUUGCUUGGAUGAACUCUUGUUUUUUUUUGCUACUGAUCUCUUCUGAGAAGAUGUGAUAGACACUUGUGUGGAUGAUAACUUGAGAGUCAAAAAAUGAAAGAUGAAAACCAAUGGAAAGAAUAGUAGUUGUAGCUG
rnacentral:lncRNA from 1 species